AUUGAAGACUGGGAUUUCUAAUUAAAUGAAAGGUUUUUAAGCAAAUCUGAGACCACAAGUUUUGGUCUAAGUUAACUGAUAAAUCCGCUUCCCAUUUUGCAAUAGGAAUUGAUAUUGAUUCAUCUGUUUUAGAAAGCAUUCUGUAUAUUUUGGAAAGUAAUUUGGGGGUUUUAAGAGUAAGAAAUUGUACCACACUUGGUGGUGUUUGUAGUUCAACUUGACCCGGUUUAAAUUUCUAUUUUACUAUGGAUUUAAUUUGUUCAUAUUCUAACAAAUUAAACUCCACAGUGGGUUUUAAUCUGGGACUCUCCACCAUUUGACCUUAGAACUGAAGAAGCUUCUCGGAUGAGAGGUGAAACAUAUUUGUUAAAUUUAAGACUAAAGAGAGAAGUCAUCUGUAUCUCUUAAUUGAAAUGACACCAAAUUGUAUUCAAAACUGAGCCACAUUUAUGGAGGUCCACAAUUCUUUUCUUGGUGUUUUGGUUGAUAUCUCUUGAUUUUCCCAUGUCAAAGAAACAGGGUCGUGUUUUGCCUUAUAUGCAUCCACAGGUCUGCCACCAAUUUACUCACAUGGACUCUACCAACCAAUCAGAAGCUUCUUCAGCUCAGAAUGGAAUCAUCUAGAGUUUUCUUAUUAAUUAACAAUAAACUUAGUGUACAUGUACUCCUAAAUUUGAUGAAAGUGAUAAAAAUAGACAGCUCUCUCUCAAUUCUGACAUUUAACUAAUUCAAAAUAUAUUUUAAUAUUUAUUUACCUAAAACAAAACAAGUUUACUCUAAAUUCAUGUGUAACAGUGAAAUUUUAUUUCAUGUUUUUUCCCUAAAGUGUAUGCAAACAUCCGAUUUCAACUGUGAAUAUACUGCUGUGUAUUGAAAUUCCUCUUGUUUUGCAUAGAAAUACACUGAACAACAUACAAAGCAUAAUAUAUAAAAAACAUCUACCAGAGUUUUUCUUUGAAAAAAGCCCCUUAUGUCCAUUGUUGUGUUCAUCAGUAAAUAACUGAAGCCGAUUUAGAGUGCUUUGUUUAGCCGUGGAGGGUAACAACUGAAAAUAUGAAAUAAACACACAUUUAACCUAAGAAUAUCUAAAACAACAGCAUUGUUGUUCGGCUUUUCUUUUCGCCAUUUGUUGAUUCACUCGAAGAGCAAGUAAUGUAAUAUGGGUCAAGUGAUCCGUUUGAUAUCAAUCUUUUGUGAUGCACCGUCAUAUUUACAUUAUUUGUAUAGUCCGAAUGAUUUGCUUUGGUACCUUGUCAAACUUAAGCUCUCCUCUGUCUGCAGCAAACUCGCAGGCAGCAGCUUCUCUCCCCUCGCUCACAUGCAUAAGUGCUGUUCUCAGUUGGCCCAAAAUUCAGACUCAGCAGGAAGUGGAAACCCUUCUACCCUCUCCAAUCUUAGCAGAGGUCUACAAGUUUGUGGACAAGGCUCAGCGGGCCCAACACUCUAAAGCAGGGGUGUCGAAGUCCAGGAAAAGAAAGACAACGCAGGAAAUUUUACACCUUGCUUUUAAAAACACACACUCCUCGUUCUGAACCUACAAAACUCAGAGACGAAAACACACCCGAAGACAGUCAGGAGAAAUGGGUAAAGAACUUUUCAGACCGGAAUCUCACUGAACCUGAAAAGAGAGUAUUAGCCAAAGGACUCAAUUUUGCCAUUUCUUCGCAACAGUUGCCCAUAGUGGACCUCAUCACAGCCACAGAAACCGCCAUACGGAUUAAUAAAUUAUCACAGACAGAAGCAGAGCAAAUCAGGAUGAAAGUCUCAGCCACCCUCUCCAGUGCCGAAGUCCCUCCAUCCAACCUCACAAUACAAGAAGGCCGUCACUUCCCUGAGCAAAGACCACAACAUCACUAUUUUACCAGCUGAUGAGGGAAGAUGCACUGUGGUCCUAAACACUACAGAUUACCACACAAAGAUCACUACUCUCCUCAGUGACAACAAUACCUACGGAGCCUUAAAGCGAGACCCCACAAGCAGCUACAAAAAAAAAGUUAUAGCUUGCCUUCAGGACCUUGAAAAGGACAAAAUGAUUGACCGCCUUCCAUAUCACCGCCUUUAUCCAGGGGAUGCGAUACCCUGCAUUUACGGACUUCCUAAAAUCCAGAAGGAAGGUGUCCCACUCAGGCCCAUAGUCAGUGGCAUAAACUCAGACACUUCUAACAUUGCAAAACACCUUGCUACCAUCCUAGCACCUCUUGUGGGAAACACCCCACACCACAUCAAGAACUCCACCGACUUCACCGACAAGGUCCAGAAACUUACCCUGGAUCCAGAUGAAACCAUGGUGUCCUUUGAUGUAGUCUCUCUCUUCACUUGCAUACCCACCACGGAGGCCGUGGAUACUGUCAGAAAACGACUACAAGAAGACAACUCCUUGGAAGACAGGACCAACUUCACACCCGAUCAGAUCUGCACACUGUUAGACAUCUGCCUUAGCACAACAUACUUCAAAUACAACAAAGGCUUCUACAGACAAAAACAUGGCUGUGCCAUGGGGUCCCCCGUGUCACCUAUUGUAGCCAACCUUUAAAUGGAGGAAGUGGAAAGGACACAUUAACGCUGUGGAUAAAAACAUCAAGUUCACCAGGCAAGACACAAAGAAUAACUGUUUGCCUUUCCUGGACUACACUGUGCACAUUGAAGAGAAUGGCAACCUCAACAUUGAAGUUUACUGGAAGCCCACACACACGGACCAGUACCUCCUCUUCUACUCCCAUCACCCUCUGGAACACAAACUUGGAGUAAUCAGGACCCUACACCACCGGGCAGAACAUGUUCCCUCUAAGGCUGAAGGAAAAAAGAAGGAACACACACAUGUAAAGGAAGAACUUAAAACGUGCGGUUAUCCUAAUUGGGCGUUCAUAAAGUCAGCAAAGAGGCACAGAAAGCCGACAUGACGAAUGAAGUCUUAAAGCUCCACAUUACCUGAGAAAAACUCAGGACAGGUCUCCAAGCAUGACAUCCCGGUGCAUUUCAGACCCAGCAACACACUCAGACAGAAACUGGUUCACCCGAAAGACAAAACUCCUAAACACAAGCUUAAUAAUAUGGUGUAUGCUGUACAGUACAGCAAGGAAUGCCCAGACCUCUACAUUGGAGAGACCAAACAGCCACUUCACAAGCGUAUGGCACAACACAGAAGAGCCACCUCCACAGGACAAGACUCAGCAGUCCAUCUGCAUCUUAAGGAUAAAGGACACUCUUUCGAGGAUGCCAAUGUUCACAUUUCGGACGGAGAGGACAGAUGGUUUGAAAGAGGAGUGAAAGAGGCCAUCUAUGUCCACUGUGAGCGACCAUCUUUGAACAGAGGCGGUGGGUUACGACACCAACUGUCUGCCAUCUAUAAACCAGUUUUGAGUUCCCUCCCCUGACGCCUUAAUGCCCACUCACAUCCUGGGCCAUCUGACCUCAGGAAUUUGCAUGAUAAGGUGUGGCCAGGUUUCACAAUGAGCUCACCCGAAAUCCUGGCUGAUUGGGACCCACACCCAUUUUCACACCUCGGCUCAGGUGAUUAGAUUAGAGGAUCAUCAGGGGUCCUUUUGUCCCUCUAUGGGGGGAUACUCCCACUGGGGUUUAAAUCUGGGACUCUCCGCUGUUUGACAUUGGAACUGAAGAAGCUUCUCGGAUGAGAGGUGAAACGUCUUCAAGCAACUUAAAGAAGUCCAGACGCUUUUCUUUGCAAGCUCCUUUGAUCAUCCAGGUAAGGAACUGUGGUCGCAAAUUUUGAAGCCAUUCUGAUAACCUUCUUCCACCAACGAUGUGGAGAUCCAAAUCCAAUUAAAACCAAGACACUCAAAAAGAUGCUCUGUAAAAGAGUAGAAUUCUUGGAACAGAGUUUAAUACACUGAAUCAUAUGAACAGCAGGAAAAAUACAAACAUACAUUUAGCAAGAAAAUUACAAAGCAGAAAGCAAGCAAAGCAAAACCCCGGGGUGUACAGCCUUAAGCACAGACAGCAGAGCAACACAGAGACGGACAGGUAGCAGCAGCAGGAGGAAAAAGAGCUCUGGGGGUGUCCUCUGGUCCCCUAAUAUAGGGACCAGUAUCCCCUCCCCCUGCUGCUGCGUAACUUUCCCACACGCCCAGCACAGCUGCUGGGGUCAGGUAGUGGCCAAGGUCUUGGCCAAAGGCCAGUCAGGACUCUGAGUACCCCUUGCUCUGGCUUAUCACAAUAGGUCAUGACACGGUCAAAGGUCAGACAUUAAUCCUAAUUAUUAAAUCUUAUACAGCAAGUGGCACAAUCUUAUAAUAUAUAAUACAUAGGUUACAUGCUUUCUCAUAUAUAAAAACACUUCAGUUUGGGUUCAAAGUGUGUGUGUGUGUGUGUGUGUGUGUGUGUGUGUGUGUGUGUGUUUAUUUUGUAUGGUAUUUUAUCGUGAUGUGUUCAGGAUCUCUGUUACAAUGUUACUGUUUUGGUUGUGCUGCAUUAAAGAUGUUAAAUUAAUUAAUUAUUAAGUAAAUUAUUCAAGAGAACUCUCCCCUUACAUUAACUGCCCUGUUACAGUACCAACUUAAUGAACCUCGGUGAAGCAAAAAUGUCUUGUGUUUAAGACUCCACAUGAAAGUUAAAAUAUAUAUGUUCAGUGCGCAUAGAUAUAUAGUGUAUAUAGUUACAUAGUUAUACAUAUCACACAAAAAUCCACCACAUUCCCCCCUGUGGUACUUGGAGGUACCACCUAAAAAGACCCCAUAACUAAAGAAGAACAAAAAUUGUGAAAACUAAUGCGUGCGCUGUUUUUUUGCUAACAUAUUUUAAAGCAAGCUGUAAAUAGAACAUAAGAAUUUGUAUAAAGAGCCCACACAGUUAUUGCGCAAAUGAAUAAGCCCUUCCUUCCACCGAAAACCUCACAGUUAUCAACAUAACAUUCUCCCAAGAUUCCAUUUCUCUUAGUCAAUUAAUUUAAGACAAAUUGAUUCAUCUUCAUUUGCAAAUCAUACUACACAGUAUCCUAAACAGAAUACUCAAGAAACUUAAAAAUCAGCCUAAUUACAGGAAAAUGAAAGUAAGGCAUAAAACACAUCAGCAGAGACACAUAAUACAUACAUGGAUUACAUAACACCAUUAGUGACAUUAAAAAUAACACAAUUAAACAAUUAAUUCUAAGUUUUGGGUUUCAUCUUGGUCAGGUGCAGCUUCUUUUUCUGAACAGACUUCUCAGUGUGGGCUUUGAAAUGUCCUUUGAUAACUUCAAGGUUGACAUUUCUCUGCAGCAGCUUCAACCUUUACUCAACUUGUGUCCCUUUUUCAGUCCAUAUUUCAACUAAUUUAUGAGUCCGAGAAAAGUCUCUUAUGGUACUUCUUGACUGCUGGAUCUUGCAUAGCUUCUAAGAAUACUCGAGACAACUUGGUCCUACUCUUGAUUAAAGUCAGGGUCGGCGAUGGGUAGUAGUUGAUCUUGCACAUCCAUCAUUCAGAAGCUGGUUUGGGCACUGUACAACUCCACCUGGGCUGUAGGCUCUGCAGCAGGUUCAACAGCUACCGGAUGGGUCAUGGCUCAGCUUUCUGGAGCAGCCUGUUUCACUCCGUUGUCCCCUCACACUCGUCAUCAGAUUGCCAGCACCUGCUCCAGGACCUCUGCAUCUCCAUCUGCUAUCCAGAAGCCAUCUCCUGCAGAAAGAUAGCUUUGCAGAGUGCAUUAGUUGUGUUCACAGUUACCAAUACAGGCCCUUUAUGAGGACUUAUCUAUGGACAUUUGUGAGUAUGCCAUGCAAUGUUAGUUGUUUUAGUCUUGUUAAUUCCAACUACAUGCACCUUAGUACUAAAGUUAAUAUUUGUACCUAGUUAACCUCUUCCUUAACAAAUUCCAAUUCAUUGCUUUAUUUUGUGAAGCACCUUGAAAUGUUUGUCCCAAAUGCUGUUAUAAAGAGAAAGCUUUACUUAUCUUUACCUAGCUAUCAAUUUAGGAAGUGCAUAGUAAAGCUCUAACAUGUUGCUUCAUUUAGGUAUUAAUGUGUCUGUUUUCUGGUGAUCAAGACAUCUAAUCACAGCCAAAGCACCAGGGAGCUUUAGGGCGACUAGUAGCUGAGUUACUGCUUCUUCAUACAGUAUUGGGGCUCUGUUGGCUUCUCUAAGAUCUCCUUUGUUCUUAAACACUAUUGAGCACAUGUCACAUUUAUAUGCUGAAUUUGGAUAAACAUUAACUCUGUUACCGGCUGCCAGGUCACAAUUCAUCAUUAGCGCUUUUAGCCCUAGACUUGCCGUUGCUAGCUAUAUGGCUGAUCAAACUUCCCACACCUCUAUAGCCGCAGAAUUGAAAUUUUCAAAGCUAAGUUAGACAAUGCAAUAUUAACCACACAGUUCUUCAUAUUGGCAGUAGUUAAACCAUCACUUGACCUAACUGUCCUAGCCAAUUAUAGGCCUCCAACUUUCCUUUAUGUCAAAAAUCCCCACAAGAGAUCCUGUAAAAUAGCCACAGAGGAAUGCCUUAUUUAAAGAGUUUCAGUCAGGUUUCAGAGCACAUCACAGUAUAGAGACAGCUUUGAUGAAAGUUAAAAAUGAUCUUCUUAAGGCCUCUGAGAGUGGAUUGAUCUCUAUGUUCGACACUUGUGACCAUAACAUGUUAUUCUAAGAAUCCUCCCACAUACACAAGACUAACCAUUGAGCUUCACAAGGUUUCACACCAGGAUCUAUUUCUAUUUACAUAACACAUGCCUCCUUCAGGUAACACCACAAAAGACACAACAUACCUCUGCCGUGCUGAUGACACCCUCUCUCUCAUUCAUCCAUGAAGCCAGACAACACACACCUGUCAGUCAACCUAAAGGAAUGCUCUGAAUGGCAUUACCUUGGUCUCCAUUAACACUGUGAGGUUUCUUGGAGUAAUUUUUUAAAUCCCAAUAUGCACUAAUAUGUGCUUUUUCAGGACUGCUUUCUUCAAUUUCUGCAAGAUCUCUAAAGUCCUGUCCCAGAGUGAUGGUGGAAGACAAAUUCAUGCAUUUAUUACUUCUAGGCUGUCCCACUGUAAUUUGUUUUUAUCAGGAUGUUGUAGACAUUGUAACUCCUUAAAAAGCAUCCAUCUACAUCAAAAUGUUGCAACAUGAAUGCUGAAAGGGACUAGAAUGACAGAGUACAUUUCUCCUAUUGAUUUCUCUUCAUAGGCUCCUUGUUAAAUCUGUUUUUUGUUUUUUUUUUAAUUACCAUACUGCUCCUAUAGUACUAUAUCUCCCCACUUGGCUCUCGAACUUUAAGCUUACUAGAAUAUUUAAAAGUAGAAUGGGAAGCCAGGCCUCCAGUUUUUAGGUCUCUCUUUUGAGUUAUUAUUAGUUAUUAGUUAUUAUCAAUCUCUGGCUCUCCUACACAGCAUAUUUUUAGUCCUGUCUCCUUCUCCUUACUCAGCUGGUCACAGCAGAUGACCACUCCCCCCUGUGCCCAAUUCUACUGGGCAUUUAGUCCUGUUAAAAAGGGAGUUCCUCCUCUCCAAAUUUCUUGCUAAAAGGGGGUCAGAUAAAUAAUUGUGUUUUAAUGUUUUAUUUUUGCAGUUUAUCCUUAGAUAAUAAAGUGCCUUUAGAUGACUGGCAUCAUGAUUUCAUGCCUGUUCAACCUUGAGUUGAAUAAUAUACAGCAUGACAGCCUUUGUUCUUAUAGAAAAAUAGCCAUUGAAAAGCUAAAACAGCUGUAUUAGACUAUUCAUACAAAUUUUCAUGCAUGGGUUGUUCAUAGACAGUAAUCAUAAGAAAUUCCCUAAUUGGACCUUGUUACACAUUUUGGUGGUGGACUCUGAGGCAGACAAUUACUUCACACCCCAUUUUCCUUAACUUGAGUGAUAGUAAAUUUUGGACCGUAAAUAAUACAUGUAAUUGGCAUUAUAUUUACAAUACACCUGGAUGGCCAUGAUGAACACUGAGACCUCCUGAAAAACAAACAGUGCUAAUUGCAGGGUAAAAGGUCUACUUCAACAGUUUGUAAAUUUGGAUUUUACUAGGUCAAUAGUCGCUCACCUAUAGAGGUUUAAUCAUUCUGACUCAACUCUGCCUUACCUUAAUCUUCUCAGUUUGCCCCAUACCAAUGAAAUGUUCUUCUCUUUCCUUUUGGUUGCCAAGUGCCCGGUCAGACUGCAUGUCCCUCCUCAGUGCUUCAAACUCUACCUCUGCACACUGUAACCAGAACAGAACUAGAAUAGAGUCAUUUAGUUCUGCAUGUUUUACUAGAGUAAGCAUUUGAGUAAUUUAAAUAUGUCAAUCCACAGACAACUGGACCCUGCCACACACAGGAAAGAUAAUUUAGGCCCCAUUUUUCUAAAUUGAGGUUUGAUCAUUUUAUAGGAGAUCAGGCUUUAGCCUCUUUCCCUCCAAAAUAUCUGAUAAUUUAGAUUUUCUCUUUUUUGGGGGGGUUCAUUCUUUGGGAGAGUUAACAAUUUAGCUCUGCUAAGCUAUAUGUGCCCCCCUUUUCCCAAUGCAGUUAAGAUUAUGACAGAAUCCUUCGCUGCUUUCUCCUCCACACUGCAUUCAUUUUUAUUUUUCUUCCAUUUGAAAGUAACUACAAAUUGCUCACACUGAAUUAUCGCAGUAUGGAUGGUUUAGUGCUGCACAUUUAGAGCUAGCAUCUUACUAUUAGCUUCAAUACAUGAACAGAAGUAGCUGCCACUGGUCUGUAUGUAGCCGCACUGAAAAAGAUAAAAGACAGAUUAUUUGUCAUAUCUGCAUACAGAUUUACACAUAUCUACACAUUUGCACCCAUACAUGUCAGGAGGAUACCCAAGAGCAGUGUACCAGGGUCAGAAACAGCAGAUGUUUAAAUUUCUCAUUUCAUGUUACCAGGGAUCCUGAGUUUCAUCAUUACCCCAACUUUUAGUAAAUCCCCAUGUGUACGUUUCAUCCCUUCAAUAAUGCAAUGCUCAUAAGGUGAUUAAUAACUUUUCUAAGUUUACUUAUCUAUCCCAUGCUCUACUGAGGUUCUAAUGCUCUGUGUGUAUCUGUUCUAGUGUCAAUGAGAGUCAUGUCUGUGCCCUUUAUGUAUUAAACUUUUCAAUAAUAUUCUAAUGUAAGAGUGUUAGUAAUGAAUAUAUUUGUAAUAAUUUCCUAUCUAAUGCUUUCAUGUGGCCUAGUUCAUAUUAUUUGUGUUCUUUUUCUACUGGGAGAGUAACACAAGGGGUGGAGCCCAGGGCUUUAAACUUAUUAGUUUGUUGGGAGCGUUACUGAUGCAGCUGCUUGAUGUUGUUCACUGCAGAUAACAUGGAUAGUUAGUACUCUGGUAUCAGUCACAGUCCAUGUACUGAAGAUUUCUCUUGGCAGUAAAUUCCUUGUUGUUAUGGUGCUGCCCACAUUCCUCUCGGAGUUCUCCAGGAACAUCCACACAGAGAACAUCCCAGAUGCAGACGAUGUUGGCUCUUAGAGGCCAUCGAUUGUCAGUCCUCAGCAGAUUGAUGAGUAUGUCACCUGACUAAAAGUGUGUUUUAAUACACUUUUCCAGCCCUCUGCAGAUACAGUCUUUCAUUGGACUCGAGGAGACUCGGUUUCAUGAAUUGAGGAUCUUCACUGGGAAGAUCCCCUCUGGUUUCCUGGGUUUUCACAUGUGCCAGCCAUUGGAUGUCGUCAUACAGCUGACUCCUCCUCUCCACCCUUGUACAGGCCUCAUCAGUGACGUAGGCCUUCGCAGUGCCAGUGUUGCUCUACUCCACAGACUCAUGGCCUGUUGUCUUUCACUGGUGAUCUGUGUUUCUCCCCUUCAGUUGGUGAGCUCCUUCAUCUGUAAGGAGGCAUUUCUUUUUUUUUUUUUUCAUAGCAGGAGAGUCAUUGUUUCGAGUAUGUGCAUACAUCAGUUAGUUAGUAACUGUUUUCAUUUGCUCCACCUUUUUUUUUUUCUUUUGCCUGUGAGCUCGACCUCAUGUUACUCUCCAUUAUCUUACUCCUGGUCUUUGAAUUCUCCUAUUUAGCUUCCUUUCCUCUGACUCACAACUGUCUUUGUCCCACCUAUCUAAUCACUCUUCACUCUUCAGCUCCUUAAUCUGACUUCCUACAUCUCAAACUUUCUCGUGUUUACUUCUCCUCUUCUAAGCCAUAAUCACUUUUGUCAUGGUUUUUGUUUUUUUUGUUUAGUUUUUUUUAGUACAAAGGCUCAACUUUUGAUUUCUCCUUAUUGCAUUUUAGGUUAAUGUGUUUUAUUUCUAAUUACCAGCUUUUGCUGGAACAAAGGCUAUGUCAUCCCCUUCAAACCCUGCUCCUGUGUAUCUCCACCUGCAUGAUGCACACUGCUUAUUCAGGGAGCUUAGAUUUAGCAGAGAUUUAUCUAUAUUUGCUUUUAUUUUUCUUGUAAAACUAAAACAAAAUCAUAGGGGCUUUAUUAUCAUAUACAACAGUUUUAUGUUUUUCUGCCCAACUUUCCUGUAAGUGACAAGAUGCAGCUGUGGGAUCAACCCUGUCACUAUUCAAAACCCUGAUUCCUGAAACAAUUACCCCCAAAUUUUGUCACAAUACCUAUUAAACUUGACAAAUUAAAAACAAUAUUAAUUUUGCAUAUGUAAGAAUUACCAUAUUGCAUUUGCUAAAGACAGCAUUUUGCAAGUUAUUCCUUAAAUGUAUAAAGUGCAAUUUAUUUAUUUAUUUACUUUCUUGGAUGGUAAAAAGCACUCUGAUGUUUUGGGACUCUUAAAACUUAAAUAUUUCCUGAUUCAAGCCUCACCCUCGAAGCCUUAAAGGGUUAAGGCCCUCUUAUGUCACGCACCUCUGAAGCUCGUCUAAAUGUUAUUUCUCUCAUAGCUAUAGAAGAAGGAUUACACACAGUCUGACCAGCAUCAAGGCGAGUGUUUUAGAUACCAAUGAUCCAUUUAUUAAUCCCUUCCCCCAUACAAUAUCUAAUCAUGCUUUUUAUUUAUUGAUCAGCAUUUCUAAUGAUCCACAGCUGCAGGUUAACCAGCCAUGCACCCCACAACUUUAUUUCUGUUGUUUUUUUUCCCAGCCAAAUAUUCUUUUUCUUUAAAUUUUUUAUUCUUUUUUCUAAAGUGCUUGACUGUGAUCACUUUUCAUUCUUACCUACUCUUCCUCUUACUUUACUAUUACACUUAAUGGCAUUAUUUAUUACAUCUUUCUAAUUACUGUCUUGUUAUUGUUACCAUUACACUCUAAUCAGUUGUCAUUGUAUUUAGGCUUUUUGUUUACUCACUGAAUUAUACCAUUCUCAAUUCUUUCCACUGCUUCUCUACUGUUAUGUCUUAUGCCCCUCUCUCAUUCAGUUCUGUCUUACUUCCCUGUUCUUAUUUUAAUAGUUUGUUAUAUUUAUUUUAAUUUACCUGAGAACCAGUUUACUGGCCUUAUCAUUUUCCUCCCAGGUGUUUCUUCUAAUAUUUUAUUCUCAAAUUUAGAGCUUCUUUCUUCCUGUUCCUCACUCUAAUGGGCACUAUUCUUUUAUACAUUUUUGUUGUUUUUUGUUCAUAGUACUCAGCAUUUGAUCACUUGUUUAAGCAUCUUCACUGAUGUGGGCCGCAAACUUUACAAACAAGUUACAUCUCUUUUCAAUUCAAUUCAAUUCAAUUUUAUUUAAAUAGCGCCAAAUCACAACAAAAGUCGCCUCAAGGCGCUUUAUAUUGUACAAUAGAUCGCACAAUAAUAAAUACAGAGAAAACCCCAACAAUCAUAUCAUAUGACCCCCUAUGAGCAAGCACUUUGGCGACAGUGGGAAGGAAAAACUCCCUUUAACAGGAAGAAACCUCCGG
ensembl:lncRNA